UAAAAUGAUUUUACAUUUGUUAUACUGACGCUGAUUGCAAACUGCAUGAAAAAAAGGUUUAUGGUGUGGUCCUGGUGGCGAGCGAACCCGCCCAGGAAACAACAAGUGCGCAAAAGACAUGGGUGGAAAAUAAUUCAGCUCCACGGCAACUGGCCCGGAGGACGCAGCGCGUGCAGCCUUCAUAUUUUUGUGUAAUGAUCCCUCCGCAGGUUCACCUACGGAGA
rnacentral:misc_RNA from 1 species